rnacentral:rRNA from 1 species
UACAGAGGGUGCAAACGUUGUUCGGAAUUACUGGGCGUAAAGCGCGUGUAGGCGGUCUUGCAGGUCAGGUGUGAAAUCCCCCGGCUCAACCGGGGAAGUGCACUUGAAACCGCAAGACUUGAGUGUCGGAGAGGAAGGCGGAAUUGUCGGUGUAGAGGUGAAAUUCGUAGAUAUCGACAGGAACACCUGCGGCGAAAGCGGCCUUCUGGACGGACACUGACGCUGAGACGCGAAAGCGUGGGGAGCAAACAGG